AUUGAACGCUGGCGGCAUGCUUUACACAUGCAAGUCGAACGGCGGCGCGGGCUUCGGCCUGGCGGCGAGUGGCGAACGGGUGAGUAAUACAUCGGAACGUGCCCAGUAGUGGGGGAUAGCUCGGCGAAAGCCGGAUUAAUACCGCAUACGACCUGAGGGUGAAAGCGGGGGAUCUUCGGACCUCGCGCUAUUGGAGCGGCCGAUGGCAGAUUAGCUAGUUGGUGGGGUAAAGGCCUACCAAGGCGACGAUCUGUAGCUGGUCUGAGAGGACGACCAGCCACACUGGGACUGAGACACGGCCCAGACUCCUACGGGAGGCAGCAGUGGGGAAUGUUGGACAAAGGGCGAAAGCCUGAUCCAGCAAUGCCGCGUGUGUGAUGAAGGCCUUCGGGUUGUAAAGCACUUUUGGCGGGAACGAAAAGGACUGUGCCAAUACCACGGUUCGAUGACGGUACCCGCAGAAUAAGCACCGGCUAACUACGUG
rnacentral:rRNA from 1 species